ACAGGAGCCCAGAGACCUCGCAGGAGGAAGCAGCAGUAUCUGUGUUCCAAAUCCUGCCCAGCCCCCAGGCAGCCAUGGUAUCUUCUCAGCUGGCUCGAGGGCACACCUCCCAAAAUGCAGAGAAGGCAGGGUGGCUAGGAAUGGCUCUAGUAGAAUUCUCCCCUUAUCUUGUCUGGAAACAAGGGGCAAAGAGCUAUCUAUUUCCUCCUGCCAGCCUCCUGCCCCCAACAGGAUUCCUCACAUCCCAGGACCAGCUGGAAAAGGUGGUGAGAGUUGGAAAGAGACUGCUCAGUGAGGACUGCCCUGCGAACCAGCUUGGAUUCAUCCCGUUCACCUCCACGUUCUGCACUCGGGGCCGAGGGAAGGGAGGCAGCCCAGGCAGCUAGAGAACUUGAUGAAACACACUCAAUCUGAAUCUCGCUUGAUCGUCAUGCUGACCCAGUGAGGGUUGUGAAAAUCUAUGGAGGCACAAUGGUUCAGCUAUUCCACCUUAUCCAGAGAGUUGAAACUCCACCACAGAGCUCUCCAAAGUGGCACAUGGUGCUGUGCAGACUCCACCGCUGCUGCCAGUACCAGUCCUGUGCGUCCAAAGCCUGCCUGCAGGGUAGCCAUCAGCAGCCAGGGCCAGAGGGCAGCCAGCUGCAGCUGGUGGCCACCACUCAUGCUACCAGCUGCAGCAAUGCACUUCAACCAUACAUACUGCUUCCACUAGCUAAUACCAAAUGCAGGUUCUCAGAUCCAGACAAAUGGAGGAAAAGAACAUUUAUGCUUCCGUUUCAGAAAGCCAAGUCGUAGUUUUGGCCCUUCCUUUCUCUAAAGUUUAUUCCCAAAAACAGGUAGCAUUCCUGAUUGGGCAGAGAAGAGGAUAUUUUCAGCCCACAUCUGCUGCAGGUAUGUCAUUUUCUCCCAUCUUCACUGUGACUAGUAAAGAUCUCACCACUUCUCUUUGGAAUUUCCAACUUUGCUUGUGAUUGAAUGUCACUUCGUGAAUUUGUAUUAUGUCAGAUCACUUGGCAUUGCUCUUCCAUAUGCAUCAAGUUGCCAGGCACUAAACCCAAUGUUCAUGAACAAAACAAGGCAAAGUAAACAGCUAAGGCCAUGCAUCAAAGGUGAGCGUGAAGAACUCCAGCUCAGAAAAGGAAGGGAUGGCCCUUUUUAAGCCAUAAUAUGUGUUAAUGGUAAAUGACUAAAUACCACAAGGAGAUUUUUUUUUUAAUGGAGGAGAAGAGGGAACAAUAAUAAAAAUUUCAGGCCACACGUUGAUGUCCAAAGAUGCUACAAUAUGUAUUUAGAAAAGUUUCCACAUUAAACUGUAUUUCAGUGUGGCCAGGUUUCUAGGCCCACUGCAUUUACAUACUUUUCAUGAACUUAGACAUACCAUAAUUUUUUGUGUUUUACCAAAAUUUGCCUAUAAAUUAGGUGCUAAUUUAUGUAUCUUCACACAUUACAGGAUAAUCCUGAGCAUCACAACCUUUUCCAACUUUCAUAAUUAGAGUAUUUGAAAAGGUUAGCUUUCCAAUUAUUUUUCCCAGUUAAAAUUCAUAUUUCCAUCUCCAUUUUCUUUUCUCUCUUAAGGAUUCUUGAUUUUAUUCUCCAGCUCGGAAAUGCCGAGCACUUUGAUUUCCCAUGAGAUGCUUUUGGAAACUACUUUAAUAUCCAGAUUUUAUGAUCUGUAAUUUUCUAGGUUCAUAAGAAAAACAAAGGACUAUUCCUCACAUGUAUCCAAAUUCCCUGAGGGGGUAGGGAAUAAAAGGUAGGGGGAGCAGGGAGGCGAUUAACCACAGGCUCUAGGUAGAAUACCCUGAAAAAAUACAAAUAAUCUUGAGUAGAAUAGAUCUGUGCUAUUUCUAGGCACUAUGAAAAUUUGCGUCUUUGUACAAACACAGAAUAAGAUUUUUAAAAUGUGCACCCUUAAGUAAAUAUAAAUACACCUCACCCACAAAGCCCUCUGUGUUCCAAGGUCAAGUUUAAAAAUAUUAUAAAGUCUUCAGAAUAAGUGCUGAAAAGCCAAGCAAUUGAACAUGAACCUGUUAUAUGGAUUCUUUUCUUUUGCUGAGGCAGAGGGAGGGGGGAAAAAGGAAUUUCAAAAGAAAUCUGCAAACCUGUUGCGCUGUCGGGCCCACUGGAAUCCACGGGGGUGAAACAAAUUCAAUUAUGCUUUUACAGAUCCUGCUCAAAAAAGGUUUCAACUGCUUAACCAAGUACAGCUCAUUCUUCCACCUUCUUACUCUGCAACCAAACCAAGUGCCCCAUACUACAGGUAGGUGCCGAGAAAUUCCGCAGCCUGAAAAAAUAAUCCAUGCAGGUCAAAGGCAGAAAUUUACUCCGGGAUGAGAGAUGCUGUCCCCUAGAACUAAAUUAAACACUUACAGAAAAUCCAAAAUCAUUUCUGAAACCUCCUUGCUAACAAAAGUUCUUUUUUUCUCCAAACAGCAUAUAAAAUGAUCAAGUCUUGAAAGAGAAAAGAAGCAAAGUAGCAAAUACAUCAACAAUUCACUAUCAGAAACACAUAAAAUCCCAGAGAGAGAGAAGGCAGUAUCUCUGAAUCAUGGAUGGACUUGGAAAGUUCGGAAGGAUUCCGAGUGCUUCCUUUCAGAAAGACAAUUCUGGAUCAACUCCCUAGAGCAGGAAGCCUGUGGUUUGUAAUUGGUGUUCUAGCUCUGACUCCCUCCCCUGGGACUGCAAUCACGCUCUCUACCUGCUGACAAAGUGAGGGUGGAGCUGCUAGAGGCAACCACUCCCCACCCUGCCCCCCUCCUCCUGGUGCUCACACACAACACUUACUUAACCAGACCCGUUCUUUCGCUCUCCCCCCUCCCUCAGCUCCUCUACUCCCUCUACUGAGCCACAGCUAAACUGCAUCCAAUUCGAUCCCGAGUACCUUUCUCUGGGUAAGCAAGCUACCACAUGCAAAUCAGGGCCACUCAAAGAUAUCUAAGCAGACUCUGCACCCAACAGAGCAUAGAUGAUGGUAUGAGGAAAUAAACAGAAAAAAAUAAAGGUAAUCCGGAAGAUAAAAGAAUGGACACAAGGUUUUGCAAAUAUAAGUUCAAAAGGAUUUCUGCUCAUUCCAAGUUUGAGUGUCUAUAAAUGGCAGAAAGCCAGAAUAAAGUGAUCCUGUGUUUUAG
rnacentral:lncRNA from 1 species